rnacentral:misc_RNA from 1 species
CUUAAACGUACCUCCAUCCCAAGGGGUGUCAUCAGGACCAAAGAUUACUGCGUUCCAGAGCAUGAUGUUAUUGUCCUGGGGAGCGCCGCUGAUCCCGGCGGGAGGAUCAUGCUGCAGCCGCUUGAAGUCCCUCAUCAGCCUCUUCCUUGCCGGGGUCGACAUCCUCACCGCCUGUAGUCCCGGGCGGCGAGGAGGGCGGCGGCGGCUAGGGUUUCAGCUUAAUUGAGAAGUGAGAUUGGAAGGGAUCGGAGGCGUGAGGGAUGGGGAUGAG